rnacentral:rRNA from 1 species
UACGUAGGGUGCGAGCGUUAAUCGGAAUUACUGGGCGUAAAGCGUGCGUAGGCGGUUCUCCAAGUCCGUUGUGAAAGCCCCGGGCUCAACCUGGGAAUGGCAGUGGAAACUAGGGGACUGGAAUCUGGCAGAGGGGGUGGAAUGCCGCGUGUAGCAGUGAAAUGCGUAGAGAUGCGGCGGAACACCGAUGGCGAAGGCAGCCCCCUGGGCUGAGAUUGACGCUCAGGCACGAAAGCGUGGGGAGCAAACAGG